rnacentral:misc_RNA from 1 species
UAGUGAGGCCUCCUGACUGGCGCCGAUACUCUGGCAACAGAGCGCCGGAUGCCGGAAGUUGGUCAAACUUGAUCAUUUAGAGGAAGUAAAAGUCGUAACAAGGUUUCCGUAGGUGAACCUGCGGAAGGAUCAUUACCGAUACCGUCCAAGAAAAAAAACAACUCUCCGUUGUUUUUUUUGCCCUGUGAACUGUACCCAAUCGUUUAGGGGUCGGCCUGGCCGUUAAAUGGCGAGCGGACGCGAGGCAAUGCUCGCGGCCGGCCUCGCCAGCCCCGCCUGUGUUUUUUUUUUAACGUACGUGUCUACGGUCUGAUGUUGCGGCCUGAUGAGGGCCGAGAGUUGGAAAUGCGAGAGACAACUUUUGACGGUGGAUCUCUUGGCUCACGCAUCGAUGAAGAACGCAGCCAGCUGCGAUAAGUAGUGUGAAUUGCAGAAUUCAGUGAAUCAUCGAAUCUUUGAACGCAAAUGGCGCUCUUGGGUUCUCCCAGGAGCAUGUCUGUCUGAGUGUCGGAUAUCAUCCAUCGCAAGCACGGUGCGCCAGCCCGUGCUCGCGGCGUUGAGGCGUCACGGCCGCCGCACAGUGUCGGCCGUGUCCCUUGAAAGGCAGAGAGACUCGCCGCGGUCCGUGGGUAUCUUGAUUCCCGCGGCGCACCAGCGGAGGCCAAAAGUGUUGGCAGUCCUUCGCGCGCCGUCGGGGCCCCGCCGCGCGAGUCGUCCAGGCGAGACAUCUAUCUUCUGACCUCAGAUCAGGCAAGGCUACCCGCUGAAUUUAAGCAUA